rnacentral:lncRNA from 1 species
AAGGAGUUGAGAAGGGAGGAGGAAAUGAGAACAAUGGGUUUUAUUGCCAGUGAAAGGAAUGAGACACAAUUACAUCUUGAAGGGGAUGUUUGAAUGAAGUGGAGGCUUUUUAAGGCUGGGGGAAUUCUAGUCUAUUUGAUAAAGGGACAAAGAUCAUAGAGUAAGGAUGAAAGUAGAUUAUGGAGAAAGAAGGUGGUGUAUCACACAAGGAAAAUUUGGGAGGAAUCGGGGUUAAGCGCACAAGUAAUAACAUUUUGUAAUCCUUUGACUUAAAUGGUGUCUCUGUUUUAGGCUUUUGAAACACAUGUGAUCUAUAAAAGUAAGCUCUAUUAUACUCCCGUGUGUGCCAUGUUUGGUCAUGCAUCAUGUGAAUUCCCCUUGACCUGCACAGUGUUUAGGACAACAAGCUCACGGAAGAUGGAGGAGGAGCCUGUUGCUAAUCUGCCAUCUCGGGACCACAAAGAAUCUCGUGCCCUGAGAAUGCAGGCUAGUGAAUAUGGCCCCAUCCAUUGGAGUCGAGAACUCUGUGGCAUCCUGGGGAGAUCAGGAAAAAUGUUCUCUUCAGAACAAAAGACUGACUCUUGGACUAAGACACCACAUUUACCAAAGUCAGAGGAGCAUGCUCCUGCCCUACUACCUCAGGAAGAAGAAGAAAGGGAUAUCAUGAGAAUGCAGCCUGAUUCCUCCCAUUGGUAUCAAGAAUCCUAUGAGUUCCUGGGGGAAACAAAGCACAGAGCCCCUUCUGAACAAGAGACUGAAUCUUGGAACUGGUUCUAUUUCUCCAUCUUGACUCUGAGCUCUCUAGUCUCCUGCUUUCCUUGCUACGGAGAUUUUGGGCUCUCUGUCUCCUGACAUAUUACCAAGGAAGCAGCCACAGGACAGCCAUUACCAGAGAAGUGUGUGAGCCUCACAAUUCUGGUUCUAACCUUUGGAAAGUUGUCAUUGUCUAAGCUUGCCUUCAUGAGUUUCUCAAUGUGUUUUUAACAUUCAUUUUUAAGCAAUAACUGUGCCAAUAUUGCCCCCUUCUUUUAUGAUCUUUGUAUACAAGGGAGGCUAUUUGGGUUUUAAAUAUAGAUUUUAAGAGCAUGUGUAUAUUAAACAUUGUAAUGUGUGUAUAACAUGGAUAUACACCCUAGGUUAUGUUUUUAUAUGUCAUCUCGGAUUUGUUGCCAAUUUAAUAAAUCUAGUGUGGAUACCUCA